rnacentral:rRNA from 1 species
CCUACGGGAGGCAGCAGUAGGGAAUAUUGCUCAAUGGCGGAAACGCUGAAGCAGCAACGCCGCGUGGAGGAUGGAGGUUUUCGGAUGGUAAACUCCUUUUGUUAGAGAAGAUUAUGACGGUAUCUAACGAAUAAGCACCUGCUAACUCCGUGCCAGCAGCCGCGGUAAUUCGGAGGGUGCAAGCGUUACUCGGAUGCACUGGGUUUAAAGAGCGCGUAGGCGGGAUAGCAAGUCAGAUGUGAAAUCCUAUGGCUUAACCAUAGAACUGCAUUUGAAACUGGUAUUCUAGAGUAUGGGAGGGGUAGGUGGAAUUCUUGGUGUAGGGGUAAAAUCCGUAGAGAUCAAGAGGAAUACUCAUUGCGAAGGCGACCUGCUAGAACAUAACUGACGCUGAUGCGCGAAAGCGUGGGGAGCAAACAGGAUUAGAUACCCUUGUAGUC